AACUCAAAACCUUGUGGUUUGUGAGUAAGUGGCUGCAGUACAACAGGCAUUUAAUCACUGCGCCACUGUUUGUGUGCAUGAGGAUAUGAGUGACUGCUUGAGAGUGGAAGGGAACAGCACAUAUUUAUUGGCAUGUAUACUUGUGUUCACAGUACACAGAAUCAUGGAAUCAUACAACCACAGAACUGGAAGGAAUCCUGGGAUCAUCUAAUCAACCACCUGCCAAGACAGGAAACCAGGGCCAAAAAAUCUUGUGUACCCCAAUAUAUAAAAGAAGGAAAAAUGGUUACUCCGUCUUACUCAGAGUGCAUGUAAACUGACGCAGGAAUUGGCUGGGAUCCAUGACAGCUAUAGUCAGUGUUCUACCAGGGUGGAACACAAUGGACCUUUUUGCAUUGCUAAUUUCAUGUUGGAUGGCUGCCUUUGCCUAAAGGAAACCUGGAUACAUGUUCACAGGGAAGAAAAAGAGGUGUGUUCCUUUUUAAUAAGACUAUUCCUGUUCCUGCUUAAGAGAUAUAAUUUCCAUAUAAACCUGCUUAUUUAUUAUUUAUGCAGUCACCUAUGAAACAUAAUGGGCCAGGGCCAAAGAAAAGAAAUGACAAUUUCAUACAAGAUGAAAUCUUGCAAGCCAGAGAUUUAAAAAAGACUCAUGACAAUGAUACACAGUGAAACUUAGCUGCACUCACCGUAAAGGCAAAUUUAGUUUCCAUUUUCACAUUUGGUAUCUCCACUUUACUAUGAUGGUAAGCAUUUGAAAGUGGUGACAGAAAAUUUACAUGAAAAUGUCAUUCUUUGAUGGAGCUAGUCAUUCAGUUUCAUGUUUUAGCAGAAACCCACCUAGGAUGCACGUUCUGAACUAAUAUAUGAAUAAAAGUGCUGUUAUCUUUUCGUAUUGAUACUUUUCCAAAUGUUGCUGGAAUGUUUUCCCUGUCAAUAAAUGCAUCCAUUAAAGAACAUUAAGAAAA